GACUGAAGAUAAACACAGCCGGCUCUCACACCACGUCCCCAUGCCCUGUGUUUUGUGUAUUCUACCAUCUCUUGCCCUGCAGCAUUCCCAGCUGGUCUUCACUUUCCCGUCCUACUCUCCCUCUCCUUUAGCGUCACGUCACUUCCUUUACGUUAUUAACUCGGUAGCCAAAGUCAGCGCAAUUUCUUUCCCCCUUUUUACUUACUGCCUUAUAUUCACGGCCUCUGCCCCGGCUUCGGCCUCUUUUUGGGGGAUGAUGUUCCUAACAGCAUCGGGGAUGCUCAUCUGAAGCCUAUCGCUAACGCUGCGAUAACCGUCAUCCCCAGCCAGGGCCCGAGUGCCAAAGACUUUAAAUUCUGUUUGUCAAUAAACUCUUCUAAUUGUCUUCUCAUCUCCGUCUGAGUCUCUCCAGAUUGAAAUGAAG